rnacentral:rRNA from 1 species
AUUGAACGCUGGCGGCAAGCCUAACACAUGCAAGUCGAACGAGUGGCGGACGGGUGAGUAAUGUCUGGGAAACUGCCUGAUGGAGGGGGAUAACUACUGGAAACGGUAGCUAAUACCGCAUACCAUCGGAUGUGCCCAGAUGGGAUGAGCUAGUAGGUGGGGUAAAGGCUCACCUAGGCGACGAUCCCUAGCUGGUCUGAGAGGAUGACAAGCAACACGGGAAUUGGGACACGGUCCAGACUACGACGGGAGGCAGCAGUGGUGAAUAUUGCACAAUGGGCGCAAGCCUGAUGCAGCCAUGCCGUGUGUAUGAAGAAGGCCUUCGGGUUGUAAAGUACUUUCAGCGGGGAGGCGUUACCCGCAGAAGAAGCACCGGCUAACUCCGUGCCAGCAGCCGCGGUAAUAC